AUGUCUCCCCCUGCCACCUGUCACACGGCCUCAAAUUCCACCAUCAGAGAGGUAUGCCCCUGGGCUUCAAUUAAAGACUUUUUUCGGCACAAUAUAAGGGGAGACACUUCCCCCCGGAGAGGAUACAUCUCCACCCUCCACUUAGACUCUCCCUGCCCCUCUCGGAGGGGCAUCCAGCCAGGAUUUGGCUUUGUCCCAUGGCUUCAUGGAAUAUGGCUGGAUGGGGAGCAGAAAUGAAGGAAGCUGAUCAAGGAUGUAACAGGUAGGUGGGGGUGUCCUGGCAGGAAACAGAUGAUACUCUCCAACUAGGCCUUUUGCUCUAGGGGCAGUUUGCAGAUGUCUGAGAAGAUGUAGGGAAACUGGGGUGGGAAGACGGAAGCCAAGAGGAAUAGUGUGGCAUCUGACGCUAGUAACAUGUAGGAGCACUCAUCUCUCUUAGGUUGGAAGACACGUAGCUGAAGACAGCAGGGCUCUGGAGAGGGGUUGGAUAGGAAUGCUGACCUUGGGUGGAGGGACUCAGCCAGCCUGCAAGGACCCAGUGACCCUAUAGGGAGGGGGCUGGGGAAUGUAUACCCUGGAUUCACUUCCACUCACAUUUGCUCCCUG
rnacentral:lncRNA from 12 species